UGGCAGUAAUUAGCUCAGGGCUACUCUUCCUCAAAAAAAACAAAACAAAACAAUAUUUUCCAAAUUUCAAUCAAAUAGUGCUUCCACAAUUUUUGCCAUUUACCUGAGUACCAGCUGUGUUAUUUGUUUUAUUCAUUUAAUUAUUUCUUCAAAUUAAACCAUUUUUUAAAACUUAAAUUAGUAAUAGCUAAUACAUUGUUCUAAGUGCUUUACGUCUUUAACUCAAUCCUCACGACAACUCUGUGAGAUAGGGAUUAUUACACUAUUAUUCUUAUUUCCAGAUGAGGAGACUAAGGUUCAGCUAUUUGCCCCAGGGCAAUAUUCAUCUCAGGCAGUCUGGCUCCAGAGCCCACUCUCUCGUCACUACACUACACUAUUCAGCCUCAAAUGUUUACACACCACCUACAGCCGUCCCUAUCACACUUGGGGAAAUGCUGCCCUCACGAACAGCAUUGUCUGUUCUUCGCAUUCACCAAUUUCAGUGCCUAUGCUUUGUGACAUUUAAAAGCAGAUGUCACAAUUUGAGUGGUACUUUUUAUUAAGUUCAAAGUGCAAAGCAAUAUGGCACGCGAGAAUAAGUGUGACACAGGCGCAUUACUUGCAAACGAUCAGAAUUUGCAGCCCCUUCUCCCCGAUGUAAUUCAAAUUUAAUGACAGAGUUCAGUGAAUCUAUAUUUAGUAUGGAAAGUUACUUUUUAGGAAAGCUAUUGCUGAGAUGGCCUCCAUUUUUCACAAACAAAAGUUACCUAAAAUUGACAAACCCCUUUCAAAUUCUUCUUCCAUGAUUCCUAACAAGGGAGGUGGAGAUAUCAUUAUUUGCCCUGUGACUGAGAACAGAAAUGGAAGACAGGAGAAGAGAAAAUGCUUAAUGCAGCACAACUGUCGAUGGCUCCAAAGUGAAAGAUUGUUGGUAUCUUCCUUCCCUUCUAUUUAAUUUCCACCUAGACUCAAUUCCUCUUCCUCCUGCGGCCUUCCACAGCCCCACCCCUGGAUAACUCCUUCUCUAUCCAGUUGAUAUCUGUACCAUCCAUUCAUCGCGAGUGUUAUCCUGCCAUGCUGAAUAUCUUUUGGUCUAAAUGUAUGGUACCAUCUCCCCAAACGAACAAGACGCUUCAGAGCACCAGUGGUUAUAUAUUUUUGUAUCUCCCAUAGCACUGAGGAUAAAAUACUAUACACAGUCGACUCUCAGUAAGGGGAGCCAAUCUAAAGACAGAUCAAAAAAAGUUUAAGCUGGAGGUAAUUUUAACCAAUACUUUCAUCCUGUCUCCUCAAUAGCCUCUGUCCAUCAGGGACAUCUGAAGAUUCAUUAUGCAUGGGUACUUUUUAAUCUCCUCAGCAGCUAUGAUAAAACAGCAGGCAGAUUCACACAAUAUAGAAUAGACUACGUGUGCAAAAUAUGAUCAUUUUACCACAUUACUUACUCUUUUUAAAUUCGUAUGCUUGUUAAAUGACUACAUUUAUGUAACUCCACGACAUAACUCUUCAAGAUUUAGAGAGGGUCUUCUAUAAAUGAGGUAUAUGUGCUUUGUGAUAGAGGAUUACUUCCAGACUUUUUGCUUAUUUAGCAUUGUUCUCAGUCACGUUCUAGACAGCUGCAGUUGCCAGACAAGCGACCUCUCAAUUAGCAAGUUAGAACUGUAUUUUGCAGUUUAAUUCUUCACUGGGAACAUACAGUAUCGUUACCAAACUAUAGGGAAAGGCACCUGAGCUCAAAUUCUGGCUCUGCCACUUAUUAGAUUGACAUGGGGCAUUUUCCACUGUACUUGGUUCCAAUGCCUUGGUUCCUUCAUCCGUAAAAUGGAAUACAAGUAAUAUCUAUCUCGUGGGAUUGUCGGGAGAAUGAAACGAUAUAUACGUAAACAGCAUACUAUAGGGACCGAUACUUCGUAGGCACUCGAUUACUGUUGUUAAUAACUUCUUUCACUUCCCCCGGUACGGUACAAUAGUCGCAGGAGUUUUUGCAGUUUAGGGGUUAUCUCAAAAUUUGAGACUUGGAACAUCACCUCACGGCCCUUCACGUACCUUACUUCGCUCACGCUACAAACCCCGUUCUCCACAACACACACUCUCAUUAUAAGCGUAGCCCUAUUUCUUGCGUCCGUUCUCAAAGCUCCAGAUAACAGCAGAGGCUCCAUACUGAAUAAUCUGCCUUGGUCUGAGAAGGGGGUUCUGCAGACCUCGGUUCUAGGUCCGUGUUCCGCCCCUAAUCUGACCACACGAUCUUGGGCACGUGACUAUUCCCUUCAGUGAGCCUUGGGUGUCCUCGGCUGUUCAAGGAGAGGGCCAGGCUAACCCACUCCCAAGGUCCCUUCAGACUCUAAAUUGGGAAGCUCUCGUCCUCACUACAAAAGAUUAAAAGUGAUUGUAAAUCCCUAAACACGCUCCCUAAACCCAGCUUAAACGUCACUGCUUCCUUUUUCUGGACUCCUUGGCAUUUUGUACCAACCUCCAGGGUCCCCUUUGGCCCCCGCGCCUUCAAGAGGCUGGCCCUCACUUUCCACGUCAGGAGCGCCCGGCUCUCGGAAGCUGUUUCCGCAUCCCCGCCUCCGAGGGCUGCAGUGAGGAAUGGGGGAAACCAGGUCCCCAGGCGCUUAACACGGCGCCCGGCACAAGACAUAAGGCCUGGAAGUGUGGCAACCAUCUUGUGAUCAUGAGGCAACAAGCAUGAGAAGAAGGACCUACAUGCUUGGAUCAUGUAGCAGAAAGGUAGAAAAGGCUGAUGCAUCAGCCUAGACUGCUUACCCCAGCCUUCUAUUUGCACGAGAUGUUUCAGCCCAAGGACCUACACAUGACACCCUAGUGAAGCGUUUUUACGUUGAAAUAUGUCCUUGCAUGAACUUGGGAAAAAGAUUCCUUACAAGUACUCAACCUACCUAUUGUUUCUGUAAUCAGAAAGAUUGCAAGACCUUAUCGAGAUAAGCAACAUUAACCAGAAUACUGAGCACUUGCUAGGUGGGCCAAGGCCUCUCUCAGCACUGAGGAUACAGCACUGAAGACAACGCAAGAUGCAAACAGUCCCCAGCCACGCAGAGCUUAGAGCAAGCAAGAGUCAGACACGGGUUAUUGUUUCAGAAGGACGCUUAUCAAACAUUACUUAAAUGUUACUUAAAGUAGCCAAAAUAUAGCAUAUUCUUAUCACUUCAGAAAGCACCACCCCACCCCAGCUGUGCCGAACCCCAGUAUCCCCAGAGUCUGACACAAAGCCUGGUGCAAAAUAAGCAAUCGAAUAUUGAUGGACUAAAUGAAAACUUUCAUAGCCUGGUGUCUCUCUAGAACAUUCUUUAGAAGUGUAAGUUGUGUGUUUGCCCAUAAAGAACAAGAAGUUGGAAAUCUGAAUCCUGGCAUAGCUUCUGCUUUAAAUGUUGUUCCACAUUUGAACAUUGGGAAAUGUUCUGGGCCCCCGUGUCUAAUGAAAUAUACCUGUAUCAAAUUUAAGUAAUGCUAUUAUUAAAAAGUCAGUAUUUUAAGUCUAA